UAAUUUAAAUAUUAAAUAAAAAAAGGAGGAAGUUAUCUGAUAACUUCUUUCCUCUCCCCGUCUCCCAUAAACCUACUCCCUUCUCCCAAAAUUAAUCAUUGCGAGCCUAGAACUCUGCAUCGAUUCCCUUCUUUGAGAAUAACAGCGAAGUCUUGUGGUGGUGUUCCCUUGAUUUUAUUGUGUUGCUUCGCUGGUGAGACCAGAAGGGAGACAGAACGUGAACGUUAGUGAGAUCGGGAGAGGAAACAUGAAGAACUUUUGUCUUCAAAGGAUAACAAUGGAGAUGUGGAGUUGUUAAAGAGGGGUUGAUGGAGAGUGGAUUUGCUCUAUUUCUUUGGAUCAAACGUGCACUCCUAAAGGCAAAAGAGAGGACGAAGAUCUGGAUUUGUUAAACCAUUCAAGAUCUUGAUUUGAUAGAUCCAUUUUAUUGUUCCAAGUUUGUUUGAUUAUUUGAUGUAAAACUCAUACUUUAGGAAGGUGGAUUUAUUGAAAUUGAAAUGAAAUGUAUAUAUUGGCUUAUGUGAAUGAAGUAUGAGUAUAAGUUCAUCAAUGUCUUUUUAUGGUAA